GCCAGGCAUGGUGGCACAUACCUGUAAUCCCAGUGACUCAGGAGGCUGAGGCAGGAGGAUCACAAGUUCAAGGCCAGCCUUGGCAAUUUAGCAAGACCCUAUCUCAA
rnacentral:sRNA from 1 species